GAUAAACGCUGGCGGCGUGCUUAAUACAUGCAAGUCGAACGAAGAUUUUCUUUCGGGAGGCCCUUAGUGGUGGACGGGUGAGUAACGCGUGGGUAACCAGCCCUGUACUGGGGGACAACAGCAGGAAACGGAUGCUAAUACCGCAUAAGCCCUUAGCACUGCAUGGUGCAUAGGAAAAAGGAGCAAUCCGGUACAGGAUGGACCCGCGUCUGAUUAGCCAGUUGGCAGGGUAACGGCCUACCAAAGCGACGAUCAGUAGCCGAUCUGAGAGGAUGUACGGCCACAUUGGGACUGAGACACGGCCCAGACUCCUACGGGAGGCAGCAGUGGGUAAUAUUGCACAAUGGAGGAAACGCUGAUGCAGCGACGCCGCGUGAGUGAAGAAGUAUUUCGGUAUGUAAAGCUCUAUCAGCAGGAAAGAAAAUGACGGUACCUGACGAAGAAGCACCGGCUAAAUACGUG
rnacentral:rRNA from 1 species